rnacentral:tRNA from 1 species
GGUUCUAUGGUAUAGUGGUUGGCACUCUGGACUUUGAAUCCAGCGGCCUGGGUUCAACUCCCAGUAGGACCU